GCUGGGCGCGGUGGUGAUUGCCUGUAGUCCCAGCUACUCAGGAGGCUGAGGUGGGAGGAUCGCUUGAGCCCAGGAACUCUGGACUGUAGUGCACUAUGCCCAUCGCGUGUCCGCACUAAGUUCGGCAUCAAUAUGGUGACCUCCCGGGAGCAGGGGACCAUCAGGUUGCCUAAGGAGGGGUGAACCAGCCCAGGUCGGAAAUGGAGCAAGUCAAAACUCCCAUGCUGAUCAAUGGUGGGAUCGUGCCUGUGAAUAGCCACUGCACUCCAGCCUGGGCAACAUAGUGAGACCUCAUCUCU
rnacentral:SRP_RNA from 1 species